rnacentral:rRNA from 1 species
GUCGAGCGAUGAAGUUCCUUCGGGAACGGAUUAGCGGCGGACGGGUGAUACACGUGGGUAACCUGCCUUAUAGAGGGGGAUAGCCUUCCGAAAGGAAGAUUAAUACCGCAUAAAGUUGUUGAUUCGCAUGGAUCGAUAACCAAAGGAGCAAUCCGCUAUAAGAUGGACCCGCGGCGCAUUAGCUAGUUGGUGAGGUAACGGCUCACCAAGGCGACGAUGCGUAGCCGACCUGAGAGGGUGAUCGGCCACAUUGGGACUGAGACACGGCCCAGACUCCUACGGGAGGCAGCAGUGGGGAAUAUUGCACAAUGGGGGAAACCCUGAUGCAGCAACGCCGCGUGAGUGAUGAAGGCCUUCGGGUUGUAAAGCUCUGUCUUUGGGGACGAUAAUGACGGUACCCAAGGAGGAAGCCACGGCUAACUACGUGCCAGCAGCCGCGGUAAUACGUAGGUGGCAAGCGUUGUCCGGAUUUACUGGGCGUAAAGGGAGCGUAGGCGGAUUUUUAAGUGGGAUGUGAAAUACCCGGGCUCAACUUGGGUGCUGCAUUCCAAACUGGAAGUCUAGAGUGCAGGAGAGGAAAGUGGAAUUCCUAGUGUAGCGGUGAAAUGCGUAGAGAUUAGGAAGAACACCAGUGGCGAAGGCGACUUUCUGGACUGUAACUGACGCUGAGCUCGAAAGCGUGGGGAGCAAACAGGAUAGAUACCCUGGUAGUCCACGCCGUAAACGAUGGAUACUAGUGUGGGAGGUAUCAACUCCUUCCGUGCCGCCGUAAACACAUUAAGUAUCCCGCCUGGGGAGUACGGUCGCAAGAUUAAAACUCAAAGGAAUUGACGGGGACCCGCACAAGCAGCGGA